rnacentral:pre_miRNA from 1 species
UGCUCUGGAUUAGGCUUUGGCUUAAGGGAAUGUGGUGGCUGGUUUGAUCUCCUCUCCAGCCACUAAAACUUUCUCCAUAUCAGC